UAAAAACGGCAACAACUGAAGCCAGAGGCUGCAGGGAGGGGAAGUGAGGAGACGUCCUUUAACGGGUGCAGAGUUUCAGUUUUGGGGAGUGAGAGCGUUCUGGAGAUCUCUUUUUUCUUUUUGAGAUGGAGUUUUGCUCUUGUUACCCAGGCUGGAGUGCAAUGGCGCGAUCUCGGCUCACCGCAACCUCCGCCUCCUGGGUUCAGGCAAUUCUCCUGCCUCAGCCUCCUGAGCAACUGGGAUUAUAGGCACGCGCCACCGUGCCCAGCUAAUUUUUUGUAUUUUUAGUAGAGACGGGGUUUCACCAUGUUGACGAGAUGGUCUCGAUCUCUUGACCUCGUGAUCCACCCGCCUCGGCCUCCCAAAGUGCUGGGAUUACAGGCGUGAGCCACCGCGCCGGGCCCUGGAGAUCUCUUACACAUCAAUGUGCAUGUACGUUACACCAUGGCAUUGGACCCUGAGAAGUGGGUGAAGUGGUAAAUUUUAAGUUACGUGUUUUUUUUUUUUUUUACCAUAAUUAGAAAACCCAGAAGUCUAGAUGACCGACUCACAGGAUACUUUUCAUGAUGUCAUCGCUGUCUCCCGAAAACAGGUGCAACCUGCGGACUCAGGGCUAGGGGGUUCACAUUUCCGCACAUGAAAGAAAAGCUCAUUGUUGACGGCCUGUCAGGGGUGGUGAGGGGCGCCUAAUGAACAACAGCACAGACUUUUUACGUAAGUCUUCUGCCCAGAAGUUGGAGGAAUUUAAACGACUGCUUCCUCCAAUCGUGGUUCAGAAGGCAGGAGGCCACUAGGCCCAUCGCGUGGCCUCUUCAGAGCGAGACAAGGAAGAGGUGGCGCCGAGGCCUCGCGCGGGAACGGCCACUUCCGUCUGGUUUACUUCCGGGUCCCUUUCCGAGCUGGCGGUGAGACGCACCAUGGUUCUUUCCCACGUUUAUUGAGCAUCUUCCGGGAUUCCAUGACGUGGGGACGGCCCUCCGCAGCAGCUUGCCUGCGUGUGCAGCUCAUCUGCAUCACCUCAGAGACCCCGGUGCUGUUCUUUGCCAUGGCUGUCCCCAGGGAGCUGCUUGAGAGCCAGGCCAAAGCGUCUGGGCCGAUGAGAGGCUGGUGUCUCAGCACUGGGUUCAAACAGUGUGGCCCAAGGAAGCCAAGAGAUUGAACAUCCCUGACGUGCACUGUGCUUCACACCGCAGCUGUGUGGCGCAGCCUCUUCAUUCUGUGCUACAAACCUGCACGGCGUGUGACUGUUCUGAAGCCCGUAGGCAACUCCAACACAACGAACCCAAGGCCGAUGCAGAAGAUGAUCAUCUCCGAUCACAGCCCUUGACCGGAGCGCGCUUCCCGCAUCUGGAGCCACCGCAUCUGUCCCCUCUGCAGUCUGCUGGGAAUUGGUCUGAAAUCACAUGCGUCCCACUCAGCUACAUUUACAUUUCCUUCUUUUGCUGUUUUUAUACCAGAGCAGUUGAAACCACUCCCAGGAUGAAUUUCUAAACUUAGACUGUCUCAUCCUCAAACGGCAAGAGAGAGUGAUGUGUCUGUGAAUCUGCUGAAUGGGCCGAGGGGUGUCUUUAAAAGAUUGUAUGGGGGAAGAGGCAGGCCCUGCAGAAACCUAUGGACUGGGCUGCUAAAAUACGAGCUUCCCAGGAAGCCACCUUUUGGGAGCCUGGACUAGCCCAGAACCUUUUCUGAGUAGCAGCUGACAACCACGGUCUCUCCCGUGAGCCCACUUCAACCCAGCAAUGAAAGGAAACUUGCUACACUCCAGCAGUAGGAGUAGGAAAUCCCACCAUCCCUACAAAAUAAAGGCUACACAUUUAAGAUCCUCUCAGUGGACGUUUUCCAAAAUAACAUCUUUCACUUAUGCUUGAGCAGGGACAAGAGUCAUUAAAAAGAACAGAUUGUUAAAAUCUCUGUCCAGUGCUUUUGGCCAGCGAGCCGCUCAGGACAAAGGGCUGCCUGGUUUUGGGCCCUAAUUAUCAGGAGGCCAAGGCCCGGCUGCGGGUGAUGGGGCUGCGGGCUUCGAAGCGAGCACCGUCCUCCCCAUUCUUGGUGAAUUUCUUGUUCUUGGCACUUUCCUUGGCAGCCUGAUGGCCAGCACCUGUGCACUCAGACCUGGGGCCCACCCGGGACAGCCAUGCAGAUGUCACGCCGCUUUUUCUGAUUUCUUAUUAGUGGCACUUAAUAGGCAGGUGCUGGGGGCAGUUUGGCUGGCUCCGGAGGGGCCGCAAACACUGCUCCCUUGGUGGGCCAAGGGUCAAAUGAUUUCCAAAGCUCAGCCAGAUAAUUGCUGGUGAUUAGCAAUUUUAAUUACCAGGUGCGAGGGGUCGGGACCCCCUUCCCUGUAAUUGGACAGGUUGUCAACAUCCAUGGAGUUGUGGCCAGGGAGUAUGUUUUACUAAUACUCUCUAGGUCUUUCAAAGUUAAUUCAAUUAAAGCAGCUGAAACCGCCAGAGAUGGCCUGAGAUCUGAUGAGGCACAUUGAACAAGUUUUCGGUAAAACUUGUCUCGCUGGAAAAAAAAGAAAGAAAAAUAAACUUCAAACGCAGCCAUGAAUCCCGUGUGAACAUCGCACGUCCUGUUCGUGCCCUUCUGUGGCUGCGGAAGGUUGGGGCCGUGAACAGUGUUCUUCUGCUGGGUGCCUCACACUGGGACUCAGCCCGUCGGGUGCAGCUUUUCCGUGUGCUGACUCUUAGGGGCUUUGUACGGUCACAGUGAGCAGAAAACCAGUAUCUUCCUGGUGCAGCUUUGGAAGGGGCUGGACACCCACUCAUGGCCACCGAGCGCUGCUCCACCUCUGUGCCUCCAACUCCUCACUGAUAUGGACGUGUAUUCAAAAUUGAUCGAUGUCCCCCGGUUCCUUUCACAGAGGCCAAGAAGCCUGCGAAUAUACUUCACAGUCUCUGAAUAAGUGCAGGAAGAGGGCAUGGCAGGAAUUUCCUGGGGUCGCAGGGCCAGGGAUGGUGACUGCAGCCCAGGCCUCUCUAGUUAUGUGGGAGGCUGCACACAGCCCACACUGACUUAAAGGCAAGCAAGAACUGAUACAGUCACACGGCCAUACUGAGCCUGAGGACAGGGAAUAGCUUGGCUGACACACUCAGGAGGGGGGACUCAAGCAGCCAGGAACACGAGACUUGUGUCGGACUUGGAGGAUGGACAUGGGGAGAAGAGAAGGCACCCUCGGGCAGCAAGUUCAGAGCAAGAGCAGCGGCGAUGGCAGAGUCUUGUCCUUCAUCCCGAGAUCCUGGGGCUAUGCCUGGCUCGGCAGGCUCCGUCUGGAGAUGCAGAAGGCAGGGGUGUGAGGGCCUCACCCAUGACUUUGGUUUCUUGACCCUGUGGUUAGAGGCUUUAAUGAAAAGUCUUUUCUUUCCACGACACAUUUCUAACACUCUUUGCCCACAAUACAGACAGUUACUUUAAGGGCCAACAGGAAUAAUUGGUUCAUGAUGUGGGAUCCGAGUGCUCCAUUCUGAGCUCCCACAGAAGGAUCUGUGUGCUUCCAGAAACAGUUUGGAUGUAUGUUUAAAGGAGCUUGGAGGAGGAUUGCCCCGUGGGGUAGAUGGGUAGGGCCUUGUGGCCUGGGGACAGUGACCCAAGGCAGCUUCUAGCCAAUGGGUGUUGUUCACAUGGAGUGUGAGCAAGUGUGAGCCAGCUGUGGGUGGCUGGGCCCCAGUGGGCCAAGCAUGAGGCUGAGGAGGGCUGGAGGAUGUGCUGUCAGGGCGGCUGCUGGGAUAGGUAUGGAAACAUGCGUCCCUGACCCUUUUCUUUGUGAUUUAAAAAACAUAUUUUGGCUCCAUGUGGUGGCUCACACCUCUAAUCCCAGCACUUUGGGAGGCUGAGGUGAGCAGAUCACCUGCGGUCAGGAGUUUGAGACCAGCCUGGCCAACAUGGUGAAAUGCCAUCUCAACUAAAAAUACAAAAAUUAGCCAGGCGUGGUAGCAUGCACCUGUAGUCCCAGCUACUGAGGAGGCUGAGGCAGGAGAAUCACUUGAACCCAGGAGGUAGAGGCUGCAGUGAGCCAAGAUAGCACCACUGCACUUUAGAUUGGGUGACAGAGCGAGACCCUAUCUCCAAAAGACCGAAAACAAAAUAAACAAAAAACAUACUGUAAACAUGUUCACAAUGGUGUAAUUACCCGCAUACCUUCUCCCCACACCUGAUCCACCUGUAGUCAUUUUCUGGUGCUCUCCAUACCUGUAGAGAGCACUGGCCACCAUGCCCUGGGUGGCUGUGUACGUGGCCUGCCCCAGCCCCUUAUCCCCUGAUGGUCUCCUGAGUGAGAGGACCGAGCUGGGGGAGUACACCCAGGAGACUCUGAGCCCCAGCAGAACAAAGCGAGCUCUGCCUUCAGCACUUUGGCCUUGAGACUUGUGCCUGAGAGCAGGAGUGGGACCCUUUGUGCCCAGGGUAGGCUAGGGCAGCUCCUGGGGUUCAUUACCUUUGUUAGAGUGACUACAGGCAAGUCCAUAGAGAAUGUU